rnacentral:rRNA from 1 species
UACGAAGGGGGCUAGCGUUGUCCGGAUUUAUUGGGCGUAAAGAGCGUGUAGGCGGUUUGGUAGGUCCGCUGUGAAAACUCGAGGCUCAACCUCGAGACGCCGGUGGAAACCAUCAGACUAGAGUCCGGAAGAGGAGAGUGGAAUUCCUGGUGUAGCGGUGAAAUGCGCAGAUAUCAGGAAGAACACCCGUGGCUAAGGCGGCUCUCUAGUACGGUACUGACGCUGAGACGCGAAAGCGUGGGGAGCGAACAGG